GAUGAACGCUGGCGGCGUGCUUAACACAUGCAAGUCGAACGGAGUUUACAUGUGAGCGGAGGGUGCUUGCAUCUAACAAUCUUUUGUAAACUUAGUGGCGGACGGGUGAGUAACGCGUGGGUAACCUGCCGUAUACAGGGGGACAACUGCCCGAAAGGGUGGCUAAUACCGCAUGUGGUGGUGCGUUCGAUCGCACCAGUAAAGCCGCAAGGCGCUUCGGGAGGGGCCUGCGUCCGAUUAGCUCGUUGGUGGGGUAACGGCUCACCAAGGCGACGAUCGGUAGGUGGUCUGAGAGGACGAUCACCCAGACUGGGACUGAGACACGGCCCAGACUCCUACGGGAGGCAGCAGUCGGGAAUUUUGCGCAAUGGACGAAAGUCUGACGCAGCAACGCCGCGUGAGGGAUGACGGCCUCGGUUGUAACCGUCUUUGUCUAGGGACGAGUUAUGACGGUACCGUGACGAAUAAGCCACGGCUAACUACGUG
rnacentral:rRNA from 1 species